rnacentral:lncRNA from 1 species
CCCCUUGCACCUUGUUUAUAAACCCAGAAGCUCUAUUCCUCACCCCACUGGCAGGGACCUUCUCUUCCUUCUAACCCUCGGGAGUCACAGAUUCCAAGACCAGAGGGGACCAUUGGGAUCAUCUCGUCUGACCUCCUGGAUAACACAGGCCAUAGGGCUUCCCUGAAUUAAUUCCUGUUUGAACUAGAGAGGCUCUUGUAGAAAAACGUCUGAUCCUUACUUAAAAUUGGCCAGUGAUGGAGAAUUCCACACAGCCCUUGGUUAAGUUGUUUCAAAGGUGAAUUGCCUUUAUUGUUAACAAUCUGCACUUUUAUUUCCAGGAUGGAAUCUCUACUCUUCUCACGAUCAGGUGGGAUCUCCGUUUGCAUCCCAGUUCCACCAGGUGGCAAUGACAGUCUGACCUAGUGGCCAGUGCUCUUGGCCACUUCAUACCUACUUGAUGGCUAUGCACGAGCAGACCAAUGCCUCAUGAUGGAGACCUGCCCCUUCCAGUGUAUUCGACUUCGGGCACUGGUCCCCCCGAAGGGCGAAGAACGGUCACUGUAGGCCCCGAGAGGAAGGGCCCCGGAGUGACGCGUGAGGGUUGGCGACAAGACCCACCGGCAAUAGGCCAGUGGCGGUGAGUGCCGUAAUGUUGUCCCGAAUUAGGUGUGUUGCAUGAGUGUGGGUCGUGCGGUGGCCCUACCCUUGUUUCCCUCUUGGUGCCUCGGGUUGGUGCCCUGUGCCCCCUCUGGGCGAGGAGGCCCCAGGAACCUGCCCAUGAACUCGUAGGCAGUAGGGUAACCUAUCCUGUUCUCUCGAAGGCAGGCCGGUGCUCUCUGCUGGGGGAGGGGUGUGCGGGGACCGUGCCUUUCCUGGCCCUUCUGUUUGGUUGGCCUGCGACCGAGUUCCUCCCUUGAUUUUCCACUUGGAGCGGUCCCGCUUGGAGCGGGGGGCUCCCUUGUUGUACUUAAAGUACUGCACAGGAUCUUUUCAGGGGGAAUAAGACAAAACGCCACAUUUAUUAGUAAUACAUGUAUUCAUUAACACUGUAUUAUAUGCAUAUAAUAUAUUACACUUAACGCUCACACACACACACACACAAA